GACGUAACGAGUUCUCGUUGAUGAUCGGUGCUUGCACCGAGAUUCAACAUGGAACGAGUGGCGGACGGGUGAGUAACACGUGGGUAACCUGCCCUUAAGUGGGGGAUAACAUUUGGAAACAGAUGCUAAUACCGCAUAGAUCCAAGAACCGCAUGGUUCUUGGCUGAAAGAUGGCGUAAGCUAUCGCUUUUGGAUGGACCCGCGGCGUAUUAGCUAGUUGGUGAGGUAAUGGCUCACCAAGGCGAUGAUACGUAGCCGAACUGAGAGGUUGAUCGGCCACAUUGGGACUGAGACACGGCCCAAACUCCUACGGGAGGCAGCAGUAGGGAAUCUUCCACAAUGGACGCAAGUCUGAUGGAGCAACGCCGCGUGAGUGAAGAAGGCUUUCGGGUCGUAAAACUCUGUUGUUGGAGAAGAAUGGUCGGCAGAGUAACUGUUGUCGGCGUGACGGUAUCCAACCAGAAAGCCACGGCUAACUACGUGCCAGCAGCCGCGGUAAUACGUAGGUGGCAAGCGUUAUCCGGAUUUAUUGGGCGUAAAGCGAGCGCAGGCGGUUUUUUAAGUCUGAUGUGAAAGCCCUCGGCUUAACCGAGGAAGCGCAUCGGAAACUGGGAGACUUGAGUGCAGAAGAGGACAGUGGAACUCCAUGUGUAGCGGUGAAAUGCGUAGAUAUAUGGAAGAACACCAGUGGCGAAGGCGGCUGUCUGGUCUGUAACUGACGCUGAGGCUCGAAAGCAUGGGUAGCGAACAGGAUUAGAUACCCUGGUAGUCCAUGCCGUAAACGAUGAAUGCUAGGUGUUGGAGGGUUUCCGCCCUUCAGUGCCGCAGCUAACGCAUUAAGCAUUCCGCCUGGGGAGUACGACCGCAAGGUUGAAACUCAAAGGAAUUGACGGGCGCCCGCACAAGCGGUGGAGCAUGUGGUUUAAUUCGAAGCAACGCGAAGAACCUUACCAGGUCUUGACAUCUUUUGAUCACCUGAGAAAUCAGU
rnacentral:rRNA from 1 species